rnacentral:rRNA from 1 species
UACGUAGGGACCGAGCGUUGUCCGGAAUCAUUGGGCGUAAAGAGCGUGUAGGCGGCCACUUAAGUCCUGCGUGAAAUCUUGCGGCUCAACCGCAGCGGUCGUGGGAAACUGGUGGCUAGAGUGCGGGAGAGGAGAGUGGAAUUCCUGGUGUAGCGGUGGAAUGCGCAGAUAUCAGGAAGAACACCCGUGGCGAAGGCGGCUCUCUGGAACGCAACUGACGCUGAGACGCGAAAGCGUGGGGAGCAAACAGG